CUCCGUGCUUACCGGGGCCUCCCCGGCCAGCCCUCGUGGGAAUAUUGGAACAGACCAGUUGGGGAGGCGGAUGUCAGCACAAGCAGGACCACACAGGUGAAGAGCACGCGCUCUGUCGCAGCACUGUUGCAGGGCCCAGCAGGAGGCCGGCCUCGGUUCCCCCGGAGUGGGGAGCCGUGGACACGGCUAAGGGGAUCAGCUUUGAGCUGGGGGCGUGUCGUCCCAGAGCCCGGCCUGGCUCUCCUGUGUCCCCAGCAUGCUGCCCAGGUGGGGCAUGGAGCCCUGAGAGCGCAGGAGAAGCUGUGUUUGCCCCAUUUUACAGCUGAGCACAUGGAGUCUUGGGACCUGAAAGUUGUCCAGGAUGUCUCAGCUCCAAGAGACAGUGGCAGGAACAAAACGCUGUCCCUGUGACUCGAACAGGCCAGGCCCCUACCUGCUGCAUGAAGCAGCCCCAGCAUAGUUGUGUGUUUAAGGGAGAGGAGCCCUCGGGGGCAGCAACGGUCAGGAGGGGAACAGCCCCUUGAACUGACUCGCAAGGGGCAGGGGUCUGCUGGUGGUCAUGUGGAGAACAACAGAUUCUGGACAUGCUGGCCGCUCACUGUCCUCCAGUGCUGGAGUCCUGGGCUCUGCAGGUCAGGAGCUGACAAAAGCUGGAUCCAAAUCUGGAAGGUGCCUUCAAGGGCGUGACACCUAACUGGCUGCUAUCCCUGCACCUCCCACGACAGCCUCAUGCUCCGCCGCCCCCGCGAGGAAUUUUAUGGAUGCAAAGAAGGUGGAGACAUGAAAUAAACACUUGGGUUUUAAC
rnacentral:lncRNA from 1 species